rnacentral:rRNA from 1 species
AGAGUUUGAUCCUGGCUCAGAACGAACGCUGGCGGCGUGGAUAAGACAUGCAAGUCGAACGAGACUUUCCGUUGUAGCAAUACGAUGGAAAGUUUAGUGGCGAACGGGUGCUUAACACGUGGGCAACCUGCCAUGAAGUGGGGGGAUAGCUCGCCGAAAGGCGAAUUAAUACCGCAUGUGAUUAGAGAGGACAUCCUUUCGAAAUUAAAGUCGGGGCAACCUGACGCUUCUUGUGGGGCCCGCGGCCUAUCAGCUAGUUGGUGAGGUAACGGCUCACCAAGGCUUUGACGGGUAGCUGGUCUGAGAGGACGACUAGCCACACUGGGACUGAGACACGGCCCAGACACCUACGGGUGGCAGCAGUCGAGAAUUUUUGACAAUGGGGGAAACCCUGAUCGAGCGACGCCGCGUGGAGGAUGAAGGUCUUCGGAUUGUAAACUCCUGUCAUUUGGGAACAAGGUGCACACGUUAACUGCGUGCGUAUUGAUAGUACCAGAAGAGGAAGAGACGGCUAACUCUGUGCCAGCAGCCGCGGUAAUACAGAGGUCUCAAGCGUUGUUCGGAUUCAUUGGGCGUAAAGGGUGCGUAGGCGGCGCGGUAAGUCGGGUGUGAAAUCUCGGAGCUUAACUCCGAAACUGCAUUCGAUACUGCCGUGCUUGAGGACUGGAGAGGAGACUGGAAUUUACGGUGUAGCGGUGAAAUGCGUAGAUAUCGUAAGGAAGACCAGUGGCGAAGGCGGGUCUCUGGACAGUUCCUGACGCUGAGGCACGAAGGUCAGGGGAGCAAACGGGAUUAGAUACCCUAGUAGUCC